rfam:Peniophora sp. CONT PENSPscaffold_51_Cont95, whole genome shotgun sequence.
CCUCCGGUAGCUCAGCGGCAGAGCGCAAGAUACAUAUUGGUCAACGUAGAAGUUUCAUCUUGAGACGCUGGUUCGAGUCCAGCUCGGAGGA